rnacentral:rRNA from 1 species
GAUGAACGCUGGCGGCGUGCCUAAUACAUGCAAGUCGAGCGAACGGACUAGUAGCUUGCUUUUCUGAUGUUAGCGGCGGACGGGUGAGUAACACGUGGAUAACCUACCUAUCAGACUGGGAUACCUUCGGGAAACCGGCGCUUAUACCGGAUAAUAUUUUGAACCGCAUGGUUCAAGAGUGAAAGACGGUCUUGCUGUCACUUAUAGAUGGAUCCGCGCUGCAUUAGCUAGUUGGUAAGGUAACGGCUUACCAAGGCAACGAUGCAUAGCCGACCUGAGAGGGGGAUCGGCCACACGGGAACGGAGACACGGUCAAGACUCCUAAGGGAGGCAGCAGUAGGGAAUGUUACGCAAUGGGCGAAAGCCUGACGGAGCAACGGCGCGUGAGUGAUGAAGGUCUUCGGAGCGUAAAACUCUGUUAUGAGGGAAGAACAUAUGUGUAAGUAACUGUGCACAACGUGACGGUACCUAAUCAGAAAGCCACGGCUAACUACGUG